UUGGAGGGCAAGUCUGGUGCCAGCAGCCGCGGUAAUUCCAGCUCCAAUAGCGUAUAUUAAAGUUGUUGCAGUUAAAAAGCUCGUAGUUGAAUUUCGGGGUCAGUAGAUUGGUCAUGCCACUGGUAUGUACUGGUCUCACUGAUUCCUCCUUCCUGAUGAGCCGUAAUGCCAUUAAUUUGGUGUUGCGAGGAAUCUGGACUGUUACUUUGAAAAAAUUGGAGUGUUUAAAGCAGGCUAACGCUUGAAUACAUUAGCAUGGAAUAAUGAAAUAGGACGUUCGAUCUUAUUUUGUUGGUUUCUAAGAUUGACGUAAUGAUUAAUAGGGAUAGUUGGGGGCAUUAGUAUUCAAUUGUCAGAGGUGAAAUUCAUGGAUUUAUUGAAGACUAACUACCGCGAAAGCAUUUGCCAAGGAUGUUUUCAUUAAUCAAGAACGAAAGUUAGGGGAUCGAAGACGAUCAGAUACCGUCGUAGUCUUAACCAUAAACUAUGCCGACUAGGGAUCGGAUGAUGUUAAUUUUUUAAUGACUCAUUCGGCGCCUUACGGGAAACCAAAGUGUUUGGGUUC
rnacentral:rRNA from 1 species